rnacentral:rRNA from 1 species
AUUGAACGCUAGCGGGAUGCUUUACACAUGCAAGUCGAACGGCAGCGCGGACUUCGGUCUGGCGGCGAGUGGCGAACGGGUGAGUAAUGUAUCGGAACGUGCCCAGUAGCGGGGGAUAACUACGCGAAAGCGUAGCUAAUACCGCAUACGCCCUACGGGGGAAAGCAGGGGAUCGUAAGACCUUGCACUAUUGGAGCGGUCGAUAUCGGAUUAGCUAGUUGGUGAGGUAACGGCUCACCAAGGCGACGAUCCGUAGCUGGUUUGAGAGGACGACCAGCCACACUGGGACUGAGACACGGCCCAGACUCCUACGGGAGGCAGCAGUGGGGAAUUUUGGACAAUGGGGGCAACCCUGAUCCAGCCAUCCCGCGUGUGCGAUGAAGGCCUUCGGGUUGUAAAGCACUUUUGGCAGGAAAGAAACGUCGCGGGCUAAUACCCCGUGGAACUGACGGUACCUGCAGAAUAAGCACCGGCUAACUACGUG